GUCUAUGGCCAUGCCACCAUGAACAAGCCCGAUGUCUGAUCUCGGAAGCUAAGCAGGGUCGGGCCUGGUUAGUACUUGGAUGAGAGACCACCUAGGAAGACCAGGUGCUGUAGGCA
rnacentral:rRNA from 1 species